rnacentral:rRNA from 1 species
GACGAACGCUGGCGGCGUGCCUAAUACAUGCAAGUAGAACGCAGUUGCGAACGGGUGAGUAACGCGUAGGUAACUGCCUCAUAGCGGGGGAUAACUAUUGGAAACGAUAGCUAAUACCGCAUACUUUGAGAUGGACCUGCGUUGGAUUAGCUAGUUGGGUAGGUAAAGGCCCACCCAGGCGACGAUACAUAGCCGGCCUGAGAGGGUGGUCGGCCCCACUGGGAACGGGACAAGGCCCAGACUCCUACGGGAGGCAGCAGUAGGGAAUCUUCGGAAAUGGGCGGAAGUCUGGCCGAGCAACGCCGCGUGGGUGAAGAAGGUUUUCGGAUCGUAAAGCUCUGUUGUUAGAGAAGCGGUACCUAACCAGAAAGGGACGGCUAACUACGUGCCAGCCGCCGCGGUAAUUC